UAGUGGCUUCUGGACAGAGGUGGGAGGAAGAAUUACUUUUCAUUAUGUACCAUGUUGUAUCUUUUGGAUUUAUAUGUCAUAUGCAAGUAUUAACUAUCCAAAAAAUAAUUAUGUAAAAUUUACAGAAUAUGGAUUGGAAUAAGAACUCCUUCUUGACCCCUGUGUUUGGUAUGGAAGUCAAAGUUGAGACUGAAGAGGAGUGAUAAAAAUUGUGACAAAUAAAAAAGGGAAGUAAAUAUGG